GGGAGCGCCGAAAGGUAGGGGCGUGGCAAAAGGUUUCUCAUUGGUGAAAGGAGUUUUACUGUGCUGGCAAAUCAGCAGUAAAUAUACAUUUACGUCAUUUCCUUAGACAAGGUGGCAGCGAUAAGACGUGAGGUAAUUAUUCAUCGUUUAUACGUUUAUCUAUACUUUAUAUACCACAAAUAUGUAUAUUAAGAUAAGUUUGUUACAAUACGAUCAUAAUUUUUCCUUUGCGUUAUAUCUUGCAGCUUUAGUAAUUAGUUUAUUGUUGUUGACAGACAUAUGUACAGUGAGACAAAACGAUGACCGCAUCGACGGCGAAUCCUUCAGAGAUGAUAGUUUAUAUCUGCGUCCUUUUUGUACAAUAGAGUACAGAAUACAUCCUGUGUCCAACUAAUGCAGAGUAUAUUCAAGCUGCCAACACACUGGUGGUGAAGAACCCUUUUCAGAGAAAUAUAGAAAGAAAUGACUGUGAAGCUUGUGUUGGGGAGGAUUCAGUGUCUGUUGAGGCACAUGUGAAUGUGUUAUAAAGUGAGUAUCAAAAAACACAUCCAGACCCCUCGACGGUCAAAGACCACACGACAGGAACAUGCUCCUGGAGACGCUGAGAAAGCACGGAAGGAAUGUCUGUGGAGGAUGUACUCAAAAAAUACACAUACUUCAGGACACCUGCUGGAGGGGACCCGGCUACACCUUUCCUACCAUACACCUGAUGGAUACUGACUGUAAAAUGUCAAUCAUAGUUCGAGGGCUCAGUGUGGUGACAGAAGAUGGAACAGAUGUGUGUCAGUGCAUCAGCCUUGAUGAAGCCUUCAUAACAGCCUUCUGUGUGUAUUCUGCUUUCAACAUUACAUAUCCACCACACCUGAGAAAGACACUGACUUUCCUUCAGAGGCACAUUGUCAACAUUAGAAGAUGGAGUCAAGCACUGUAUGGUUGACUGGAAGUCUGUCAGUCCAGAUGUGAGGAAGACAUACAGAGUGAAGCUGGAGUUCAGCAGAUGUGUGAUGGUCUUGGAAAGAAGGGCAUCUUCACAGCUUUCUAUUCAGACAAAGAGUUUGCUGGAUUCUGUUCUAUGGACUGCUACUACAAAAUGAAUUAAUGAAUGAGUGGUUUAUCUAUCUAUCUAUCUAUCUAUCUAUCUAUCUAUCUAUCUAUCUAUCUAUCUAUCCUUUUACUUGAA